CGGGCUAUUAGCUCAGUGGGAGGCGGUGGUUUACCCUGUGGCGGAUGUCAGCGGUUCGAGUCCGCUUAUCUCCA
rnacentral:tRNA from 1 species